GGGGUAUGGUUUUUGUGUUGGGUUCUGGGGCUGUGAACCAAGAGACCCAGUACUUCGGGCCAGGCACUCGGCUCCUCGUGUUAGAGGAUCUGAGAAAGGUGACUCCACCCAAAGUCUCCUUGUUUGAGCCAUCAGAAGCAGAGAUUGCAGACAAGCAAAAGGCUACCCUCGUGUGCUUGGCCAGGGGCUUCUUCCCUGACCAUGUGGAGCUGAGCUGGUGGGUGAAUGGGAAGGAGAUCCACAGUGGGGUCAGCACGGACCCUCAGGCCUACAAGGAGAGCAAUAACUUCACCUACUGCCUGAGCAGCCGCCUGAGGGUUUCUGCUACCUUCUGGCACAAUCCUCGCAACCACUUCCGUUGUCAAGUGCAGUUCUAUGGGCUUACAGAGCAAGAUGAGUGGAAUCAGACCUCACCCAAACCUGUCACACAGAACAUUAGUGCAGAGGCCUGGGGCAGAGCAGACUGUGGAAUCACCUCAGCAUCCUAUCAUCAGGGGGUUCUGUCUGCUACCAUCCUCUAUGAGAUCCUACUGGGGAAGGCCACCCUCUAUGCUGUGCUGGUCAGCGCCCUGGUGCUGAUGGCUAUGGUCAAGAAAAAAAAUUCCUGAGACAAACUCUUAUGUAUCCUGAGCUUCUUCACCCUGGCCAUCGAUUUUCCUGCACCUUCUCCAUUCCUAUUCCUAAGGACUUGUCUCUUCUUCCUCCAUGGAUAUCCAUCCUUCCUCAUUGACACCUUGACCCUGAAACAGACUAAAUCAAUAAAAAUAGUAAGCUUA